rnacentral:rRNA from 1 species
AUUGGCCUACCGUGGCAAUGACGGGUAACGGGAAUAGGGUUCGAUUCGGAGAGGAGCUGAGAAACGGCUACACAUCUAAGGAAGGCAGCAGCGCGCAAAUUACCCAAUCCUAAUACAGGGAGGUAGUGACAAGAAAUACAAUACAGGACUUUUGGUUGUAAUUGGAAUGAGUAAGUAUAAACCCCUUACAAGUAUCAAUUGGAGGGCAAGUCUGGUGCCAGCAGCCGCGGUAAUUCCAGCUCCAAUAGCGUAUAUUAAAGUUGUUGCAGUUAAAAAGCUCGUAGUUGGAUUCUGUUAAUAAUUUAUAUAAAAUAUUUUGAUGAAUAUUUAUAUAAUAUUAACAUAAUUCAUAUUACUAUAUAUUUUAGUAUAUGAAAUUUUACUUUGAGAAAAUUAGAGUGCUUAAAGCAGGCAUAUGCCUUGAAUACUCCAGCAUGGAAUAAUAUUAAAGAUUUUUAUCUUUCUUAUUGGUUCUAAGAUAAGAAUAAUGAUUAAUAGGGACAGUUGGGGGCAUUUGUAUUUAACAGUCAGAGGUGAAAUUCUUAGAUUUGUUAAAAAACAAACUAAUGCGAAAGCAUUUGCCAAGGAUGUUUUCAUUAAUCAAGAAC